rnacentral:rRNA from 1 species
AUACAGAGGGUGCAAACGUUGUUCGGAAUCACUGGGCUUAAAGCGCGCGUAGGCGGCGACAUCAGUGUCUUGUGAAAGCCCCCGGCUCAACCGGGGAACUGCAGGGCAUACUGUGUUGCUAGAGUACGAGAGGGGAGAGGAGAACUCCUGGUGGAGCGGUGGAAUGCGUAGAUAUCAGGAGGAAUGCCGAAGGUGAAGACACCUCUCUGGCUCGUAACUGACGCUAAGGCGCGAAAGCUAGGGUAGCGAACGGGAUUAGAUACCCGGGUAGUCC